rnacentral:lncRNA from 1 species
CCUUUGAGCCAUAGACGACAAUUUAAACUCCGAAGAUCUUUAAAAGCAUUAUCUAACGGGGAGUUUAAAUUAACAAGUAUUCGUAAUUUGUAAUAUUACGAGAAUACUUGAAAAAGUCUAAAGCGAAGCACGCUUAUAAGGCUUUAUUUACUCCAACCAAAUACUUAUCUUUAGUAUUGGAGUAAGUUAAAAAGUAUACUUAUAUUUUUCUAUAUCCUUAGGAAAGUAUACUUUAAAUAUAUAUAUCACCAAUAUAUAUAUAUAUACACUAUCGGCCUAGUCGUGUCUAGUCCAAAACUCUUUUUAUAAACAAGGAUUAUUUGUCGUAGAUAUUGUUUUCUAAGUUUUGCAGUGAG